GGCUGUGAUGGUUGAGGGGUGAAGACGUUGGACUCGUGAUCCAUUUAGGUGUUCCUUGCACAGGAUCGAAUCCUGUUCUUAGCCA